UACAGAGGGGGCAAGCGUUAUUCGGAAUUAUUGGGCGUAAAGGGCGCGUAGGCGGCUUGGCAAGUGGAUGGUGAAAUCCCUCGGCUUAACCGAGGAACUGCCCUCCAAACUGCUUGGCUUGAGUCCGGGAGAGGUGAGUGGAAUUCCCAGUGUAGCGGUGAAAUGCGUAGAUAUUGGGAGGAACACCAGUGGCGAAGGCGGCUCACUGGACCGGAACUGACGCUGAUGCGCGAAAGCGUGGGGAGCAAACGGG
rnacentral:rRNA from 1 species